AUGUCACGUUUCCAGGAAAUAACGGGAGCGAGGUUUGGAUUCAGGAGGGGAGGGAGAGGGAAAUGCGGGGAACUACAAAUAUUCCCGGAGGGUUCAGGUUUGCUGGAGGAAGGAGACAAAAAAAUCGUUAAAAUCUCAUUGAGGAGACACCAAACAAACAAACAAACAAACAAACAAAGGAGAAGCCGCACAAAAGUUGGAGAAAUGCGGAGAAAUUGCAGAGAAUCGCCGGCGGGGCGGGAGCAGGAGGAGGCUCCAAGGAUGCGCGGCUGGCGGAGGGAUGGAGCCGCGUUUCUAAGGAGACCAGGACGGGCCGUGAUUCCAGCCGGGAGAGGAGAAUUCCUGCUCCGGGAGAGGAGAAUUCCUGCUCCGGGAGCCGCGGGCAGCGAGCGAGGGGCUGCAGGAGCAGCGAGGGAAAAUCCCGCAUCCCAAACCCGGGAGGCGGCACCGAUCCUCCCCGGAAUUCCCGGUGCCCCGGGCUUGUUCCUGCACAGGCCAGCCCGGCUUCCAUCCAGGAAUUAUCCCGGAUUUCCCCCCACAUCAUCCCGAAACCCGGCAAACAGCGAUGUCACAUUCCCGGUUUUCCAGCAGGUUCUGGGACUGAUCUCCUCCCAUCCCGGGAAGGAGCUGCCACCGCCAACCUCCCCCAUCCCUGGAUCGUCCUGUGCCGUGGGGAGGGAAAACCUCGGGAAUCCCAUCCCAAAACCUCGGGAAUGCCAUCCCAAAACCUCGGGAAUAGCAUCCCAAAACCUCGGGAAUCCCAUCCCAAAACCUCGGGAAUCCCAUUCCAAAACCUCGGCAAUCCCAUCCCAAAACCUUGGGAAUCCCAUCCCAGACACUCCCAGCAUCCAGGGGGGGAUUUUUGGGAAGAAGGGAAGGGGAAGGGGAAGGGGAAGGGGAAGGGGAAGGAUUGGGAUGCAAUCCCAAAGGAAGAGGCUGGAUGGCUCCAGUGCCAGCCUGGCUCCUGCCACGUUUUCCAUGGCUGCGGGGGCUUUUCCAGCUCCUGCAGGAGGUGCCUGGAUCCCCUGGGAUCAAGGAGCAGCUCCUGGGAAUGCUGGAGCCCAGCACGGAGCAUCCCGGUGCUGCCAGCGCUCCCGGGAUCCACAGGCAGGAGAAGCAGCGGGAUAA
rnacentral:lncRNA from 1 species